UGCCUCAAUGGCGGAAUUGGCAGACGCGCAGCGUUCAGGUCGCUGUUCACGCAAGUGAGUGCAGGUUCGACUCCUGUUUGAGGCAUAUG
rnacentral:tRNA from 1 species